UACAGAGGAGCCAAGCGUUGUCCGGAUUGACUGGGCGUAAAGCGCACGCAGGCGGACGCGCGCGUGGGGUGUGAAAUCUGGCCGCUUAACGGCCAGGCGCCAUCCCAUACGGCGCGUCUGGAGUGAUGCAGAGGUCGGUGGAAUUGCCGGGUGUAGUGGUGAAAUGCGUAGAGAUCGGCAGGAACACCCAGGGGGAAACCAGCCGACUGGGCAUCUACUGACGCUGAGGUGCGAGAGCGUGGAGAGCGAACCGG
rnacentral:rRNA from 1 species